CUACAGGCAAGGAACGAGAGGCUUAUCUCCGUAAAGCCACUAAAGAGAAGCAGCGGUUGGUGCAAGCUGUGUGGCGGUGAGGUGAGUGUAGCUCGGGAGCUGUUUUGCUGAACAUUGCAGUAGGCAAAAACGUGCGCACACGUUACGUGCAUUGAGUGCCUUGUGCAAAAAGCAUGAGGAAGAUAGGUGGUACCACGAUUAUUCGCCCUGUCC
rnacentral:ncRNA from 1 species